GACAGCAGGGCACUCAGAUGAGGAGGAAGAUGUGGUUCCAGAACAUGAAGAUAAAGUUGAUUGUCUUGGGGAUCAUCAUUGCCCUAAUCCUCAUCAUCGUCUUGUCGGUGUGCCAUGGUUUCAAGUGCUAAUAACCAUAGAUGUGAGACUGCUGCUGUGAUACAUCCCUGUCUACCAAGCUGUCGUUUAUAGUAGCAAAAACUGUGUACUAUUACAAGAUCUGUGAGUUCUCUGUU
rnacentral:misc_RNA from 1 species